rnacentral:rRNA from 1 species
AACGCGAAGAACCUUACCUGGUCUGACAUAUCUAGAAUCCUGCAGAGAUGCGGGAGUGCCUUCGGGAAUUAGAAUACAGGUGCUGCAUGGCUGUCGUCAGCUCGUGUCGUGAGAUGUUGGGUUAAGUCCCGCAACGAGCGCAACCCUUGUCCUUAGUUACCAGCGGGUUAAGCCGGGAACUCUAAGGAUACUGCCAGUGACAAACUGGAGGAAGGCGGGGACGACGUCAAGUCAUCAUGGCCCUUACGACCAGGGCUACACACGUGCUACAAUGGUAGGUACAGAGGGCAGCUACACAGCGAUGUGAUGCGAAUCUCAAAAAGCCUAUCGUAGUCCAGAUUGGAGUCUGCAACUCGACUCCAUGAAGUAGGAAUCGCUAGUAAUCGCGGAUCAGAAUGCCGCGGUGAAUACGUUCCCGGGUCUUGUACACACCG